rnacentral:rRNA from 1 species
UCUGAGAGGAUGGCCAGCCACACUGGAACUGAGACACGGUCCAGACUCCUACGGGAGGCAGCAGUGGGGAAUAUUGGACAAUGGGGGGAACCCUGAUCCAGCAAUGCCGCGUGUGUGAAGAAGGCCUGAGGGUUGUAAAGCACUUUCAGUGGGGAGGAGGGUUGAUUGGUUAAGAGCUGAUUAACUGGACGUUACCCACAGAAGAAGCACCGGCUAACUCCGUGCCAGCAGCCGCGGUAAUACGGAGGGUGCAAGCGUUAAUCGGAAUUACUGGGCGUAAAGCGUGCGUAGGUGGUUGAUUAAGUUAUCUGUGAAAUCCCUGGGCUUAACCUGGGCAGGUCAGAUGAUACUGGUUGACUCGAGUAUGGGAGAGGGUAGUGGAAUUUCCGGUGUAGCGGUGAAAUGCGUAGAGAUCGGAAGGAACACCAGUGGCGAAGGCGGCUACCUGGCCUAAUACUGACACUGAGGCACGAAAGCGUGGGGAGCAAACA